GUGAUAAGUGCGCAAACACAGCACCAGGACACAGUAGGGAGAAACAAACGAGGGCAGUCUCCCUACUGUGUCCUGGUGCUGUGUUUGCGCACUUAUCAC
rnacentral:pre_miRNA from 1 species